rnacentral:rRNA from 1 species
CGCUAUCACUCCUACGGGAGGCAGCAGUGAGGAAUAUUGGUCAAUGGAGGGAACUCUGAACCAGCCAUCCCGCGUGUAGGAAGACGGCCUUAUGGGUUGUAAACUACUUUUAUACAGGAAGAAACGUACCCUCGUGAGGGUGCCUGACGGUACUGUAGGAAUAAGCACCGGCUAACUCCGUGCCAGCAGCCGCGGUAAUACGGAGGGUGCGAGCGUUAUCCGGAUUUAUUGGGUUUAAAGGGUCCGUAGGCGGAUUAAUAAGUCAGUGGUGAAAUCCCAUCGCUUAACGAUGGAACUGCCAUUGAUACUGUUAGUCUUGAAUGAGGGUGCAGUGGUUGGAAUGUGUAGUGUAGCGGUGAAAUGCAUAGAUAUUACACAGAACACCGAUUGCGAAGGCAGAUCACUAACCCUAAAUUGACGCUGAGGGACGAAAGCGUGGGGAGCGAACAGGAUUAGAUACCCUGGUAG